UACGAAGGGGGCUAGCGUUGUUCGGAAUCACUGGGCGUAAAGCGCUUGUAGGCGGAUCGUUAAGUCAGGGGUGAAAUCCCGAGGCUCAACCUCGGAACUGCCUUUGAUACUGGCGAUCUGGAGUCCGGGAGAGGUGAGUGGAACUCCGAGUGUAGAGGUGAAAUUCGUAGAUAUUCGGAAGAACACCAGUGGCGAAGGCGGCUCACUGGCCCGGUACUGACGCUUAAGAGCGAAAGCGUGGGGAGCAAAC
rnacentral:rRNA from 1 species